rnacentral:rRNA from 1 species
UACGUAGGUGGCGAGCGUUGUCCGGGAUUAUUGGGCGUAAAGCGCGCGCAGGUCGGGAAAGUAAGUCUACUCUAAAAGUGCGGGCUCAACCCCGUGAUGGGUGGAAACUGCUUUCUUGAGUGCCGGAGAGGAAAGCGGAAUUCCCAGUGUAGCGGUGAAAUGCGUAGAUAUAGGAGGAACACCAGUGGCGAAGGCGACUACCUGGACUGAUACUGACACUGAGGUGCGAAAGCGUGGGGAG